UACGUAGGGGGCAAGCGUUGUCCGGAAUCAUUGGGCGUAAAGCGCGCGUAGGCGGCCUGCUAAGUCGGACGUGAAAUCCCUCGGCUCAACCGAGGAACUGCGUCCGAUACUGGUGGGCUUGAAUCCGGGAGAGGGAUGUGGAAUUCCAGGUGUAGCGGUGAAAUGCGUAGAUAUCUGGAGGAACACCGGUGGCGAAGGCGGCAUCCUGGACCGGUAUUGACGCUGAGGCGCGAAAGCUAGGGGAGCAAACGGG
rnacentral:rRNA from 1 species